UACGGAGGGUGCAAGCGUUAUCCGGAUUCACUGGGUUUAAAGGGUGCGUAGGUGGGCUAGUAAGUCCGUGGUGAAAUCUCCAAGCUUAACUUGGAAACUGCCGUGGAUACUAUUAGUCUUGAAUAUUGUGGAGGUAAGCGGAAUAUGUCAUGUAGCGGUGAAAUGCUUAGAUAUGACAUAGAACACCGAUAGCGAAGGCAGCUUGCUACACAAUCAUUGACACUG
rnacentral:rRNA from 1 species